GAUCUUCACGCGCGUACAGUCAACGACACAAAGACACGGAGGGAGCAGUGCUCGUAUCGCUGACCGUCGAGAACGUGUUUCUCAUCUUCAAGCGGUCUCUGGCGUAACGCAACCGACCCCCCCCCUCCCGCACCCACACACACACGCCCCGCCUUUCCUCUGCCUCGAUUUCCCAGUCUCACGACGUGCAAGCGCCCGCACACUCACUCCGGUGUCUCCAGAGGUGCCCUUACGAGAGAGGAGGUGGGCUACAGGCUCUCUACGCGAAGGGCGGCGUGCAUACGCAACUGCGUUCGGGGCCGCUACCCAUCUUCCACAAAGACGCAGGCACUACCGCGCAAGUGCCGCCAAGUACCAUUUCGUCAUCGAGAGUCAUGCGCUCCUCUGCGGCUCGGCUGUUCCGCGUUGCCGUCCUGGGAGCGGCUGGCGGCAUCGGCCAGCCCUUGUCGCUCCUCCUAAAGUGCAGCCCUCUAGUGACGAGUCUUUCGCUCUACGACAUUCGCGGCGGACCAGGCGUGGCUGCGGACCUCUCCCACAUUCCGUCACCGGCAGAGGUGACCGGGUUUUCCUCAGGUGAGCUGGAGAAAGCCGUGAAGGGAGCGGACUUGGCGCUGGUGGUGGCUGGCAUCCCCCGCAAACCGGGGAUGACGCGCGACGACCUCUUCCACACGAACGCCAGCAUCGUGCGCGAUCUCGCCAUCGCCGUUGGCACGCACGCGCCGAAGGCAAUUGUUGGUAUUAUCACGAACCCCGUCAACAGCACUGUGCCAGUGGCUGCUGAGGCGCUGAAGAAGGUCGGCGUGUACGACCCUGCGCGCCUCUUUGGCGUCACCACACUCGACGUUGUCCGUGCCCGCACCUUCGUUGGAGAGGCGCUCGGUGCCAGCCCGUACGACGUUGACGUCCCCGUUGUUGGCGGCCACAGCGGUGAGACGAUUGUGCCGUUGCUAUCAGGCUUCCCGUCGCUGUCGGAGGAGCAGGUGCGGCAGCUGACGCACCGCAUCCAGUUUGGUGGUGAUGAGGUGGUGAAGGCCAAGAAUGGUGCGGGCUCGGCGACGCUGUCCAUGGCGUACGCGGCCUCGGAAUGGUCCAUCUCGAUGCUCAAGGCUCUUCGUGGUGAUAGGGGCAUUAUCGAGUACGCUCUUGUGGAAAGUGACAUGCAGCGGCCACAUUCUCGCUUCUUUGGAUGUGCAGUGGAACUUGGCACAAACGGCGUAGAGCGUGUGCUGCCGAUGCCGAAGCUGAACGCCUACGAACAGCAGUUGCUGGACGCGUGCCUUCCUGCACUCAGCGCUGAGUUCCGCAAGGGGGUCGACUUUGCCGUCAAGCCGCACCUCUCACAGGAUAGUUGAGCUGCAAAUGCAUGCCCCACACACACGCACCGGCGCCGCCCUCCGUUGCUCCGUUUUGCUUGACUCCCUCGCCCUCAGAUGUUUUCCGUUGCUUUUGCGCU
rnacentral:misc_RNA from 1 species